GGAUGUGAGGGCGAUCUGGCUGCGACAUCUGUCACCCCAUUGAUCGCCAGGGUUGAUUCGGCUGAUCUGGCUGGCUAGGCGGGUGUCCCCUUCCUCCCUCACCGCUCCAUGUGCGUCCCUCCCGAAGCUGCGCGCUCGGUCGAAGAGGACGACCUUCCCCGCUAGAGGAGGACCGUUCUUCGGUCAAGGGUAUACGAGUAGCUGCGCUCCCCUGCUAGAACCUCCAAACAAGCUCUCAAGGUCCAUUUGUAGGAGAACGUAGGGUAGUCAAGCUUCCAAGACUCCAGACACAUCCAAAUGAGGCACUGCACGUGGCAGUCUGCCUUUCUUU
rnacentral:snRNA from 1 species